AUUAAAAAGAAGCAAUACAGCUGCAUCGGCUAAAGCAAGAGAGUUGGCUUGGCAAAAAAAUAACGGACAGAGUAAAUGCGUGUAAUCCUUCUGGAGCCACAAGAACUUUAUGCCAAGUCAAAAUGAAACACAAAACAUUCUGCAAAAAGCUAAUAGAAAGAAGACUAAAGCCCGUCUAACUGGCGGGGGCCCACCACCACCUCCCCUCACUCCAUCUGAGGAGUUGGCUCUGUCCCUUAAUAAAGGGUGACCAGUGGUUGCUGGCAUUCCAGGGGGCAGUUCAUCGCACACACCAUGCACCACAAGUGAUGGUGAAAAAAUGGUGAAAUAUACUGAUGGACGUAUUGUAUUAUUGAACCCUCCAGAAAGAACACAGUCUGUCACAGUUGAUGAAGAUGAUGAUGAAGAGACCACAUCUGCUGUGACAGAAGUGGACAAUUACAUACCCAGGGAUUUGCCCACAGAUGAGGGUCCUUCAACCUCAGCACACAAUCUAAGCAGGGUAAGAAUUUGUGUCCAGGUGUCCAUAUUUUAAUUGAUUUGUAUAAGAGUGACCUUAUACAGCUUCAAAUGGAAGAGAAAAGGCUCCUCAUUAAAAAAGCAGCACUUGAAAUUGAAUUACUGGAGCAUCGCCUUAAGGUGAGAACUUGUCUGAA